GACGAACCGUGCGAACGUUGUUCGGAAUCACUGGGCUUAAAGGGCGCGUAGGCGGCUUGUCAAGUCAGGGGUGAAAUCUUUCGGCUUAACCGGGGAACUGCAUCUGAUACUGGAUGGCUUGAGAUUGGGAGAGGGAUGCGGAAUUCCAGGUGUAGCGGUGAAAUGCGUAGAUAUCUGGAGGAACACCGGUGGCGAAGGCGGCAUCCUGGACCAACACUGACGCUGAGGAGCGAAAGCCAGGGGAGCAAACGGG
rnacentral:rRNA from 1 species